UACAGAGGUCUCAAGCGUUGUUCGGAUUCAUUGGGCGUAAAGGGUGCGUAGGUGGCUGCGUAAGUCGGGUGUGAAAUCCCGGGGCUCAACCCCGGAACUGCACUCGAUACUGCGUGGCUUGAGUACUGGAGAGGAGAUUGGAAUUUACGGUGUAGCAGUGAAAUGCGUAGAUAUCAGGAGGAACACCGAUGGCGAAGGCAGGUCUCUGGGCCACUACUGACGCUGAGAAGCGAAAGCAUGGGGGAGCGAACAGG
rnacentral:rRNA from 1 species